UAAUGUCUAUAAUUUCAAAGGCAAGAGGCAUAUCAAUCAAUGUGUAAACAUGUAUUACAUGAAACAACUUAACUACCACAUUUAAAAAACAUCCUCGAUCAGCAUUCUGAUAAUGUUACAUGCCUAUGUUGUAAUUUGGACAAAAAAGUAACUUUGCAUCAUGAUUUCCACUAACAUUUAAAGAUCAACAAAGACACUCAUAAGAACUACCCAGACCAAGCAAUUGGCGAUGGCAUUCAAGUUGUCUUGUACCU
rnacentral:lncRNA from 1 species